rnacentral:tRNA from 5 species
GGGCCUUUAGCUCAGUUGGUAGAGCGCCACGUUUACACCGUGGAUGUCGUCGGUUCGAGCCCGGCAGGGCCCACCA